rnacentral:rRNA from 1 species
GUAGUCAUAUGCUUGUCUCAAAGAUCAAGCCAUGCAUGUCUAAGUAUAAGCAAUUAUACAGCGAAACUGCGAAUGGCUCAUUAUAUAAGUUAUCGUUUAUUUGAUAGUACCUUACUACUUGGAUAACCGUGGUAAUUCUAGAGCUAAUACAUGCUAAAAAUCCCAACUUCGGAAGGGAUGUAUUUAUUAGAUUAAAAACCAAUGCCCUUCGGGGCUCCUUGGUGAUUCAUGAUAACCCUUCGAAUCGCAUGGCCUUGUGCCGGCGAUGGUUCAUUCAAAUUUCUUCCCUAUCAACUUUCGAUGUUUGGGUAUUGGCCAAACAUGGUUGCAACGGGUAACGGAGGGUUAGGGCUCGACCCCGGAGAAGGAGCCUGAGAAACGGCUACUACAUCCAAGGAAGGCAGCAGGCGCGCAAAUUACCCAAUCCCGACACGGGGAGGUAGUGACAAUAAAUACUGAUACAGGGCUCUUUUGGGUCUUGUAAUUGGAAUGAGUACAAUUUAAAUCCCUUAACGAGGAACAAUUGGAGGGCAAGUCUGGUGCCAGCAGCCGCGGUAAUUCCAGCUCCAAUAGCGUAUAUUAAAGUUGUUGUGGUUAAAAAGCUCGUAGUUGAACCUUGGGCCUGGCUGGCCGGUCCGCCUCACCGCGUGUACUGGUCCGGCCGGGCCUUUCCCUCUGUGGAACCCCAUGCCCUUCACUGGGCGUGGCGGGGAAACAGGACUUUUACUUUGAAAAAAUUAGAGUGCUCCAGGCAGGCCUAUGCUCGAGUACAUUAGCAUGGAAUAAUAGAAUAGGACGUGUGGUUCUAUUUUGUUGGUUUCUAGGACCGCCGUAAUGAUUAAUAGGGACAGUCGGGGGCAUCAGUAUUCAAUUGUCAGAGGUGAAAUUCUUGGAUUUAUUGAAGACUAACUACUGCGAAAGCAUUUGCCAAGGAUGUUUUCAUUAAUCAGGAACGAAAGUUAGGGGAUCGAAGACGAUCAGAUACCGUCGUAGUCUUAACCAUAAACUAUGCCGACUAGGGAUCGGACGAUGUUAUAUUUUGACUCGUUCGGCACCUUACGAGAAAUCAAAGUGCUUGGGCUCCCUGCCCUUUGUACACACCGCCCGUCGCUACUACCGAUUGAAUGGCUCAGUGAGGCGUCCGGACUGGCCCAGAGAGGUGGGCAACUACCCCUCAGGGCCGGAAAGCUCUCCAAACUCGGUCAUUUAGAGGAAGUAAAAGUCGUAACAAGGUCUCCGUUGGUGAACCAGCGGAGGGAUCACC